rnacentral:rRNA from 1 species
GACGAACGCUGGCGGCGUGCUUAACACAUGCAAGUCGAACGAAGUGGCGAACGGGUGAGUAACGCGUAAUCAACCUGCCCUUCAGAGGGGGACAACAGUUGGACACGACUGCUAAUACCGCAUACUGAAGGAGGGGAUUGCGUCUGAUUAGCUAGUUGGAGGGGUAACGGCCCACCAAGGCGAUGAUCAGUAGCCGGUCUGAGAGGAUGCACGACCACAUUGGGACUGAGAAACGGCCCCGACUCCUACGGGGUGCAGAAGGGGGGAAUCUUCCGCAAUGGACGAAAGUCUGACGGAGCAACGCCGCGUGAGUGAUGACGGCCUUCGGGUUGUAAAGCUCUGUUAAUCGGGACGCGGUACCGGAAUAGAAAGCCACGGCUAACUACGUGCCAGCAGCCGCGGUAAUUC